UAAUUAUUUGAUUUACAGUUAAAGGCGUGGUGUUUUCACAUAUUCUUGGAUACAGAAUAGCCCAAGGAAACACAGAAACAUGUUUCAAAGGGUAGGUGGAAGAUUCUGAAGAAUGUUUCGUCCUUGACAGAAGGAAAUGUAAAAUAAAUGAAAGGUUUAACAGUCCCUUAAAGAAGCCAAGCGCCCCCAAUGGAACACAUUUGAUAUAGGACAGUAAAACGAUGCUUUAGACCAAGUUUGAUGACGCUCCAUCCAGUGGUUCAUAAGAAGCUGUUUUAAGAUUAAAGUGGUACUCUGUUUCAAUUUCAUUUGGAUUGCAAAUACCAUCUACCAGUCUGGAGGCGGUGUGAAUUUAAUCUAAAACAGAGAGAAGUAUUCAAGAUGCUGUAUUUAAACUGCACUAGAUGGACUUUGGUUUUCGCGUGUAUUAUGAGUAUGCUAUUGCACUGUACUGUGUGUACUGGAGAAGAUUACACAAAUGAAGAAGACAAUUCUGUUCUUUCCAGUAUUAUACGGCUUUUCUAUGCACUUUUCGAAUUUAUCUGGAUGUUAUUUAAGUUGAUCAGCUUCUUAUUUGGAAAUAUAAUUGACGUCGUUGUGUAUUUUUUAAAUUUGGUUGCAAUAUUGUUUCAUCUUAUAUCUUGGUAAUGGUGUAUAAAUCUGAGAUUUUGAUAUUCACACUGAAUUAUUUAUGCUGGAAAUCAAUUGUAACUUGUAAAUGACCAAAUCACUUCUUUACAGUUGUGAGGCAAGACAUUCAAUAGAACUAUCGGCGUGUCAACGCAGGUUACACGUCUCACUCUGACUUAAGAAAUUCAUCCGCCAACAAGAUAAUAAUGUUUCUCACAAAUUAUUUACUUACAGCAUGCAAGAUACAUACUUUGUUGUGUUUACAAUCUAACAGCCAUAUGACAACACUAUAGAUGCCCAUUGGCACUGUAUUCAAUAUAUAUUAGAUUUGUCCAGUUGACCGUGUGAAAUAUGUAAAUUAAUCUUUAAGAGUAUGAAAUAUGUAAAUUAUUAUUUUUCCGAGCAAGAAAAGGAUGCACAGACCUAUUUUGAUAUUAGUAAAGUCGAAAUAAUUAUUUUACUGACAAUGUGGUUUCAAGUCGUCCGAGUCGGCUGGGUCUUCAAUUUUAAACGUAAGAGUGAUGUUAUAAAACACCCAAAGGGUAAGUUAUAUCAAAUACUUUUUUUUUUAAAUUAUUUUUUACACAGCUGAGUUGAGCCAGAACUAUUCUGUAAAAGAUCACCGAAGCAAAAACGAUUACUUUCACCGUUUUUCGUACUUUGUAAAAUAUAAAAACAAAACUUACCCUAAAUUUUAGCAAAAAAAAAAAACAUUCACAAUUGACGUCAAUGGAAAACAAGGGUUGAACGUUUAAAAAGUACAAAGGGUAAGCGAAAGCGUAAACUUACAACAUUUAAAAUUAUAUCAUCAUUUAAAGGAAAGAUUAUCAACGACUGUCACCGAAGCAAAUUCGUUAUAUUAAACCAUUUAAAAGAUAUAACGAAUAAUCGAAAUUAUCCUUCGUUAUUUAAUGUGUCAAAAAAAAAACAAAAAAAAAACGAUAUUCGAAUUAUUGGAAAAAUUGAAUAUGGGUCUUUGUAUAAAAAAUCCUGCGGUUGUUUAUAUUAAAUGUAAAGAUUUAUAUUUUGACAUUCUUGUUUAUUUCUAGUUUGUUUUCUACAGUUAAGA